rnacentral:tRNA from 1 species
GGGGAUAGCUCAGUGGUAGAGCACAUGCUCAGCACGCAUGAGGUCCUAGUUUGAUCCCCAGUAUCUCCA